rnacentral:tRNA from 1 species
CGGGGUGUAGCGCAGUUGGCUAGCGUACUUGCUUUGGGAGCAAGUGGUCGUCAGUUCGAGUCUGACCACCCCGA